GAUCAUGGCUCAGAUUGAACGCUGGCGGAAUGCUUUACACAUGCAAGUCGAACGGUAGAGGGGGCAACCCUUGAGAGUGGCGAACGGGUGAGUAAUAUAUCGGAACGUGCCCAGUCGUGGGGAUAACGUAGCGAAAGUUACGCUAAUACCGCAUACGAUCUAUGGAUGAAAGCGGGGGACCGUAAGGCCUCGCGCGAUUGGAGCGGCCGAUAUCAGAUUAGGUAGUUGGUGGGGUAAAGGCUCACCAAGCCAACGAUCUGUAGCUGGUCUGAGAGGACGACCAGCCACACUGGAACUGAGACACGGUCCAGACUCCUACGGGAGGCAGCAGUGGGGAAUUUUGGACAAUGGACGCAAGUCUGAUCCAGCCAUUCCGCGUGCAGGAUGAAGGCCCUCGGGUUGUAAACUGCUUUUGUACGGAACGAAAAGGUUUCUCUUAAUACGAGGAGCUCAUGACGGUACCGUAAGAAUAAGCACCGGCUAACUACGUG
rnacentral:rRNA from 1 species